GACGAACCGUGCGAACGUUGUUCGGAAUCACUGGGCUUAAAGGGCGCGUAGGCGGGCCUCCAAGUCCGGGGUGAAAUCCUCCCGCCCCAACGGGAGAAGAGCCUCGGAGACUGGGGGCCUCGAGGGAGGUAGGGGCGUGCGGAACUAUGGGUGGAGCGGUGAAAUGCAUUGAUAUCCAUAGGAACUCCGGUGGCGAAGGCGGCACGCUGGACCUCUUCUGACGCCUGAGGCGCGAAAGCCAGGGGAGCAAACGGG
rnacentral:rRNA from 1 species